ACAAACAGCCCCCAGCCCGCCCGCCCGCCGCCCGCCCGGCAGAUUAAUGGGCGCGCACAGCUAGCCGGCCCGGCUCUCUUCCCGAACGCCAGCGGCGGGCACGGCCCUUUCAGUGGCGAGCAGAUCAGGCCAGAGUAGGGACACUAAUGCUUGGGCCGCCUCAAAGGCCCCGCCAGGUCCCCUCCUUCCUCCUCCCCUUUUUGCUUUAUUGAAUUUUGCGGGUUCCCCGCCCCUCCUCCUCCAAACAGGAAACCUGAAGGUCCUGCUCCAGGAGGGGCAGUGACAAAGGUGGCUUUGCUCCCUGCCGGCCUGCACUCCAGGCACGGCCCAGAGUUGCCCCUCCCCUAGCGCUCCCCUAUUCGUGGGUGCGAGUUCUUGAGCUGGAGCAAGGGCCAUGAGAAACCAGGCCUUCACUCUAUGCUCUUCACUCGUGCGCCUUAGGAAUCGGUGAACUCCCUCAUUCUCUCCUUCUCCGCUAGCACCAGGGGCCUGGGCCUUGCAGCCCAGAGCUGAAGGAUCACCUCGAGCUGACCAGGACUCAGCCAAACAAUUCCACCCACGCACCUAUUCCCCCUCCCAGCGCUUCAGACACCUCUCUCAUCGAAAAACCGGGCGAAGGGAAGCCGGCAACGAGCGGAGAACUCUGGCUGAAUUAACGGUGGCUCCCAGAAGCUCCUGCCCCUCUGACAGCUGUCGCUUGGGCAGCCCGAGAGAAGAAUUGUCCUCUUUCCUGGUGCCAGAGGACGCAGGAAAUUAGCCAGGUUGCGAGUUGCAAAGCUGCUGCCGCGGCGCCGGGAACGGAGCGCGCCCAAUCUCCAGCGGGAGCCGCCAGGCCUGGCCUGGCCGGGGCUUCCCUUCGCUCGCCAUCUCCGGACAAAGCACAGCCGAGCCCGGCUGGAAGGCAGAGCUCCGAAGCAGGCAGGACGGAGCGGAGCAAAAGAAUGCGGCUCUAUUCUCGCAAGGGAAAUUAUAAAAAAGUUCAUGUUCACGGUUCUCAUCCACAUGACCGACAGCGGCCAAUGGAAGGGCCGAACAACUCAUAAAGUUGUAUUGCAAAGUUGUAAAUUUUCAUAAACAACAACGGAUUUAUGACCCUUUCCCCAUCACUGAGAGGAGGCAGCUCUUACACCGGCGCCAUCUUACCACCGAGGCCGCCCCGACUUGGGGCCUCAGGUUUUACAGACCCUUUUGGGCCAGGUUUUACUAAAAGAGCCAUAAGAAGCGGGCCCAGCCCAGGCAGGAGACUGGAGACGAGGUCUUGCAGGCGGAACUCAGGAUGCUCUGAGCUGCCCGCACAACCCCUGGACCUUCACCCCUCGCCCCUUCCCCGCAUCCAGCUGCCCCAGCCCCUGCCCAGGCUGCGUAGCCUAGCGGGGGUCUGCGGUCCUAGCCCCUCCCCGCGCCACCUACUGCAGUGCCGGACCCUGGGGCCCCCUCGCCUGGUCUGCAGGCGGGGUGGGGACCUUAAAUCCCAUUUCCUAGCCUGGGGCUGGGUUCAGGGCGCAUGCGAAUCCGGAAUCAGCUCUGGGUAAUGCCCCUUUCCAAGCCCACUGCUCAGCCUUAGAGGAAAGUGUGGAUUUGAAAUUUCCUCAUGGAAUUGAUGGAGGUUUUUAGGUAGAUUCAUAGAAUAUAACGUAUCUACCAAAGAUUCCGUUUUCAAGGGAUCUAGAAGAUGUUAGUGCACACGCAAAAACCAGACAAACGUCUCUACACGGAUAAAGGCACAUAUACAAUUAUGCACACAGGGAAGGGCAUACACUCUAUUGUGGGCACAGAAUGACAUGCAAUUAUGGACACACAAAAACACAUGCACCCAAUUAUGGACACCAAAAUAUAUACAAUUGUGGAAUUAGGUAAAAACACACACACAGAAAUACAUACACAGAAAAAUAAGCACAUACUCAUACAAAUACACACAUAAAAAUACAUUAAAAAGAUACAUGACACCAAUACAUGGGUACCCAACACUUGGACCAUCACAAGGACAGCCACCCCACUUUUGCUUCCCCACUGCCCCCUGCCCUCCAGCCAUACUCACCUCCCCUUUCCCAGUCCCCUCUGGAUAAGGCAGUCCACAUUUUUCUUUGUCACCACGCAUCUUUAUUUUCGGUUACAUAAAACACAGCUGGGCUGGGAAGUGUGC
rnacentral:lncRNA from 1 species